UACGUAGGGUGCAAGCGUUAAUCGGAAUUACUGGGCGUAAAGCGUGCGCAGGCGGUUAUGUAAGUCAGGUGUGAAAUCCCCGGGCUUAACCUGGGAACUGCAUUUGUGACUGCAUAGCUAGAGUACGGUAGAGGGGGAUGGAAUUCCGCGUGUAGCAGUGAAAUGCGUAGAUAUGCGGAGGAACACCGAUGGCGAAGGCAAGCCCCUGGACCUGUACUGACGCUCAUGCACGGAAGCGUGGGGAGCAAACAGG
rnacentral:rRNA from 1 species